GGACAAGUAGAAGGGGCAGCUUAGCUCCCCCUCCCCUAUUAAACACCAGGGUCUCUACACUCAACAGCAUCGGCUGCUCUUAACUUCCUGCUUGAGGAGCACCAGUCGUGCAGAAGCACACUAAUAUUCCUUUGCAGCAAGACAACAGGACAUGAGCCCAGGCUCCCCCAGCUUUGUGACAUGAUAAGGAGAACAGCAGUACCAGAGCAGUGGCCAGGCCAGAUAAGCCAUGUUGAGUGGGCGGGCUGUGUUUUUCUCUACUCCUUUUGCAGUAUGUAGCCCGACUAACUCCCGAGGCCCUUACUGCGCAGCAAAGCUGCUUUUUAGUUAAACCCAGAACCCCAGCAACAAACUGCAAAGAGAAAUGGAGGGCUUAGAAAAGGACCAUCCUUACUCGGAAUCUUCCCAGCAGCCUCCACCGGCCAGAGAGGAAUACACUGUGCCAGGGGCCAUCACACGCCGCCUGAGAGACCGAGAGCUGCUGAGGAAAAGGAAAGCGGAGGCACAGGAGAAAGAUACUGUCCAAGAGCGGGGUAAGAGCAAAGGGCCAAAGAGGGGCCGAGGAGCUGGGAGGAGACGAGGCCGACAGCCGAGAGAAGAAGAAACCACCCCCUUAGGGCCAGAGCCUCACCCUGAAGUGCAAAAGGAGGAGAAGAAGGAGCCCCCAGAGAAAGCACCGGCAUCUUCAGUGCACCAUGAGGAGGAGCCCGCCCUGUCUGUGGCUCAAGAGCUGUCCGGUGGGACUCAGCAGGAGGCGGUGGAGGGCCCCCCAGCCGAGGAUACUCUGCAUCCAGCAGAGCUAGGGGAAGCGCCAAAGUCAGAAGAAGCAGGAAUAUCAGAGGCUUUGAAUGUCCCUCUGGAAAAUGACCAUACAGAUAAUGGAUACUACCCUUCAGUUUUAUUUUGAUCUUUUUUCCCUUCCCAUUGCUUUGGUCAAAGUCCAGCCACUGUAGAAUGAUUUAGAUCUGCUAUUCCUGUGUGAGCAAUUAAAACUAAACACUUGCAC
rnacentral:lncRNA from 1 species